AAAAUCCAUGCAGUUUCUGAACAAGACAAUGCUGCGACACAAUGAAUUGACAGACAGAGACUGCAACUUGGCCAAGUAGUCCAAGAAUGAGAAGUGAACAAAGAUAAAGAAGAUCUCCAAGCUUUAAGAAGGGCAAGACAAGGGAACACACUAGCCCGUGUCGAGGUUUCAGAAGUGGAAAGAGUGAGCAGUUCCAAGUCCUGGUUGUCAGCUUCUCUGAGGAUCUAUCUUCAGCCCAAUAUAUUGAUGCAGCUACAAAGAGGGCACAGCAGCGGCUAAAUUUUACUUGGAAUUUGAGAAGAUUUGGCAUGUCACCAAAGACACUAGCAAAUUUCUACAGAUGUACCAUGGAGAGCACUCUAACGCUGUCUAAUAU